CACCAACCUACAACCCCUCCCGGUUUCAUUCCCCCCACAAUAUCAACAGUCUGUGACAGCCUCUCUCCGCAACACAGGCAGCGCAGAAGAACGGGAGAAGGGAGAGGGACGGAGGGACAGAGGCUUGGAGGGGGAUCAGAGGCGGCAGGUUUGGCCAAAGAGGCCAAGGACCAUCACAUGUCCAGAGUCUGCACGGGCUUUGUCUGUCUCCUGGACUCUGACAACUGUGAGAGGAGACAAGGGGACCAUUGCUGCCCAAGAGGGCUUCCUGGCAGAGGUGGGACUGUAGCAAAGCCUGGAAGGAGAGGCUUGCUGCCUGGAUCUUGGAAGUCGAUCUUGAUCCACGCUGCUGGUUCUGGCAUCCACUUGGACUGACCCCGAUUCGGUGCUGGCUGCCCUGCCUCCACUCUCUCAAAUGAUCUAAUCUUGAUGGCCAACUCCAGUUGUUGAUUGUGUUUGUAGCAAAUCACAUGACCAACGAUGUCCACAAGAACAUGUGUAACUCCACAGACCAUCAGACUCAUCAAGAGGUGGGUUUAUGUCCCUCCAUCUUUCAUUUGGAUGAUAUUUUGACUAUUACGGAAGUAAUGCAAAGCUGUGCAAUUUCCCAAGUUAGGUCAUAAAGGGCCGUACAGCUUCUCCUUGGCCCUCUUGGGAUGCUUGCUCUUGGAACCCAGCCUCCAUGCUGUGAGGAAGCCCAACGCCCUCAGAGAGAGACAGCAUAGAAGGCCACACUGUGCUGUGAUGGCAGACCACCCAGCUGAGGCCCAGGGAGCAUUAGCUGCCAGACAUGUGACCGAAGAUAGAUACCUCAGAUGAUUCCAGCUACCAAGUUACCUGCAGCUAUCGAACCUUCCUGAAUGAGCCUGUAGACAGCACGGAGCACACAUCCUCACUGAGCUCAGAGACCCAGAGACCCAGAGACCCAGAGUCUGUGAACAUAUCAGGACUGGUUUUUGUGACUAAGCUGUGGGGUGAUUUUGGGGGGAAGUCAUGGUAAAAAGAACAUUCUCCCACCAUCAGUCGGGCCCUGUUUUGGUGACCCUAGGGGAGUGAUGGGAGGAUCUGAACAAGGGGCUCUGCUGAUCCCCAUGUUAGUCCAUAUCUGAGUCCCGGGGUCACAGGGAGAAUGGCCUCUUCCAAGACCCCCCUCCCUGGCUCUUCAGGGUGAAAUGAGGUCAGCUUCCAGGUGUCCUGGAUUCCCCACAGACAGAGGUCACAGGCUAGGCCAGGUCCCCUGUUGAGGAGAGAGGGCCUCUGAGCAGGAGCUCAACCACAGCAAAAGCUUGUUCUGGCUCCAUCUGAGCCUGGCCUGGUUUGCCUCUAGGUUUUGUUCUUUUUAAAAGUGGUUCACUCAGUGGGUAUUUGACAAAAGCCAUAGACCUUGGUCUGAUUCAAGGAGAAAAAUAUAGUGUAGGGGGUUGGGAAACUGGCAGAUCUAGGUUGAAGCUCAGCUCUGCCACUCACGAGCUGCAUGGACUUUUGUUGCAUGGCCCUCUGGACCCCUUCCACGUAGCAGGGAUAAUAACAUCUCCCAUUUCAUGGUUUGUUAUGACAAGAAUUGAGGUAAACUAUGGGAAAUACCCUUGAGCCCGGCAUAUACUCAAAUCUUAGUAAAUGUCAAUUGUUCCUUUCCUUUUUCCUUCAUAGAGUGUGACUGUAAUCUAUCUUUCCCAUCCACAGGGCCCAAUACAGGGCCUUAUGUAUAAUAAGUGCUUAAUAAUUGUGCCUUAAAUGAAUGGAUUUAUUUGAGUCCUGUCAAGUUUUUUC
rnacentral:lncRNA from 1 species